rnacentral:lncRNA from 1 species
GCAGUGAUGGAUCACCGUUUUAGUGGCAUUUAAAUCCCCGGCGCUCCGCCGUCUAGGUGACGCGCAGUCGCCCCCCCAGGCAGCCUAGGCGGCGGCAGCUGCUGCGGCGACUGCAAAGGCCGAUUUGGAGUGCUGGAGCGAAGAAGAGCAAAAGCUGCGUUCUGCGCGCGCCCGACUCCGCUGCCCGCCCCGCCAGGCCUCCGGGAGGUGGGGGCUGGGAGGCGUCCCCCGCUCCCGCCCCCUCCCCACCGUUCAAUGAAAGAUGAACUGGCGAGAGGACGAAUCGCAUCCAGGAGCUGCGCAGCCCUGGCCGCUGCCGGGACGCCCUGCUCCGCGCUGAGCUUGGGGCCAGAAACCAGCCAUAGUCCCCACACUCCGCCGCCGCAGCUGAGAUUUAGCGGAGGAAGGGGCGAGGGAAGGUAGGGAGCAAACCUAUGAAGAAACAUCGCGUUGUCAUUGGAACUUCCAAGCCUUUGCUGUUAAGAGCCAGGUUCUUAAAUCAACCCGCCCCACACACAUGUUGCUUACAUGCUGCGUUUUCUCACGGUCUGUUUUGCCUGAACCCAUCAACAGCUGGGAGAUUAAUCAACCACACUGAAAAUGUGGAGGGAUUUAUGGGGGAGGGGGUUGAAAUGUGGGUGUUUGAAACAAAAGUGUAUAAACAAAUGAAUUGUUGAUAACUUAGUUAUUGACCUGGAGACUGGUAGCUUAUUAAAGAAACUCCGUGUUACUCA